GAUGAACGCUAGCGGCAGGCUUAACACAUGCAAGUCGAGGGGUAGAACACUUCGGUGUUUGAGACCGGCGCACGGGUGCGUAACGCGUAUGCAAUCUGCCUUGUACAAAGGGAUAGCCCAGAGAAAUUUGGAUUAAUACCUUAUAGUAUAUCGAUGUGGCAUCACAAUGAUAUUAAAGAUUUAUCGGUACAAGAUGAGCAUGCGUCCCAUUAGCUAGUUGGUAUGGUAACGGCAUACCAAGGCAAUGAUGGGUAGGGGUCCUGAGAGGGAGAUCCCCCACACUGGUACUGAGACACGGACCAGACUCCUACGGGAGGCAGCAGUGAGGAAUAUUGGUCAAUGGGCGCAAGCCUGAACCAGCCAUGCCGCGUGCAGGAUGAAGCAUCUAUGGUGUGUAAACUGCUUUUGUACGGGAAGAAACAACUCUUCGUGAAGAGUCUUGACGGUACCGUAAGAAUAAGGAUCGGCUAACUCCGUGCCAGCCGCCGCGGUAAUAC
rnacentral:rRNA from 1 species